rnacentral:rRNA from 1 species
UACGAAGGGGGCAAGCGUUACUCGGAAUUAUUGGGCGUAAAGCGUGCGUAGGCGGUUUUGUACGUUGAAAGUGAAAGCCUUUGGCUCAACCAAAGAAUUGCUUACAAAACGGCAAAACUAGAGUAUUAGAGAGGAUAGAGGAAUUCCUGAUGUAGGGGUGAAAUCCGUAGAUAUCAGGAGGAAUAUCGAAGGCGAAGGCAUCUGUCUGGCUAAAUACUGACGCUGUUGCACGAAAGCGUGGGGAGCAAACAGG